UACGAAGGGGGCUAGCGUUGUUCGGAAUUACUGGGCGUAAAGCGCACGUAGGCGGGUUGUUAAGUCAGGGGUGAAAUCCUGGAGCUCAACUCCAGAACUGCCUUUGAUACUGGCAACCUAGAGACUGGAAGAGGUUAGUGGAAUUCCCAGUGUAGAGGUGAAAUUCGUAGAUAUUAGGAAGAACACCAGUGGCGAAGGCGGCUAACUGGUCCAGCACUGACGCUGAGGUGCGAAAGCGUGGGGAGCAAACAGG
rnacentral:rRNA from 1 species